AGCGAACGCUGGCGGCAGGCCUAGCACAUGCAAGUCGAACGAACUCUUCGGAGUUAGUGGCGGACGGGUGAGUAACACGUGGGAACGUGCCUUUUGGUUCGGAAUAACUCAGGGAAACUUGUGCUAAUACCGAAUGUGCCCUUCGGGGGAAAGAUUUAUCGCCAUUAGAGCGGCCCGCGUCUGAUUAGCUAGUUGGUGAGGUAACGGCUCACCAAGGCGACGAUCAGUAGCUGGUCUGAGAGGAUGACCAGCCACACUGGGACUGAGACACGGCCCAGACUCCUACGGGAGGCAGCAGUGGGGAAUCUUGCGCAAUGGGCGAAAGCCUGACGCAGCCAUGCCGCGUGAAUGAUGAAGGUCCUAGGAUUGUAAAAUUCUUUCACCGGGGACGAUAAUGACGGUACCCGGAGAAGAAGCCCCGGCUAACUUCGUG
rnacentral:rRNA from 1 species